UGAGGAAUAUUGGUCAAUGGCCGCGAGGCUGAACCAGCCAAGUCGCGUGAGGGAUGACGGUCCUAUGGAUUGUAAACCUCUUUUGUCGGGGAGCAAAAGGCGCCACGUGUGGCGCUCCGAGAGUACCCGAAGAAAAAGCAUCGGCUAACUCCGUGCC
rnacentral:rRNA from 1 species